rnacentral:rRNA from 1 species
UAGGGAAUCUUCGGCAAUGGACGAAAGUCUGACCGAGCAACGCCGCGUGAGUGAAGAAGGUUUUCGGAUCGUAAAACUCUGUUGUUAGAGAAGAACAAGGACGUUAGUAACUGAACGUCCCCUGACGGUAUCUAACCAGAAAGCCACGGCUAACUACGUGCCAGCAGCCGCGGUAAUACGUAGGUGGCAAGCGUUGUCCGGAUUUAUUGGGCGUAAAGCGAGCGCAGGCGGUUUCUUAAGUCUGAUGUGAAAGCCCCCGGCUCAACCGGAGAGGGUCAUUGGAAACUGGGAGACUUGAGUGCAGAAGAGGAGAGUGGAAUUCCAUGUGUGGCGGUGAAAUGCGUAGAUAUAUGGAGGAGCACCAGUGGCGAAGGCGGCUCUCUGGUCUGUAACUGACGCUGAGGCUCGAAAGCGUAGGGAGCAAACAGG